UAAACUGAUCGAGGGAAACUCAGCGUGUUUCUUUGUCUCUAUACCUGUUCCCUUAUUGCAGAUUUCAAAUAAGAUGAUAGACUGGGAGUGCAGGGUGUAAAAAGAUUCAUCGUUCAAGACUCCACCUCCUCAGACACCACAGACUAGAACAUAGACACUGCUCAAAAAUAAGUCCACUUCCAUCUUGAAGAUUCUGAAGUGCACAUUGAGAAGGAGCCACUGGAGCAAUAUACGGUUGUGCGUUACAGCUCUAAUGCCCAAAUGCAUAGUGACCCAGUGAAUGUCUCUGUUGUUCUUGAGGACGAAUUGGUCCACUCCCCACCCACAACCAACUUCCAGAGGCCUUUCUUGUCCUGUUUGGAUUCCAGUAUGCUUUUCACAUACAUAUUCCAAAAGGACUUGCAAAAACAUUUGUAUUUGUGCAAAAAACUUUUGCUUGGCAUGGAAGGUGGGAAACUGUCUCCUCGCCUGCAAACAUUAAAGAACGAGUUGAUGUGAAGCAUAACUUGUACUACCUCAGCACACACAAAAGACAAAAAGAGUUACUUAAAUGUUAUCUAACUGAUGUUACUUAGAUUUUUUACUUAUAUCUUCUUAGUUCUUAUUGAGAAGUUAUUGUAUUAACAAACCGGUUCAGUUUAAGAAAUUGUCAUGUUUAAUGCAACUGUGUGGUGUUAAUAUAUAAAGUUGGCUGUUAAGCAUUACUUGCUCAUUUCUCAUUUUAUAAAAUGCUGUUAAACAGUUUGAGCCUGUUAAAAGGUAUGUUGUGUUGCUAAGAGAAUUUAAUUUUUGACUGGAAAAUAUUAA